rnacentral:rRNA from 1 species
AACGAACGCUGGCGGCAGGCUUAACACAUGCAAGUCGAGCGAUGAAGCUCCUUCGGGAGUGGAUUAGCGGCGGACGGGUGAGUAACACGUGGGUAACCUACCUCAAAGAGGGGGAUAGCCUCCCGAAAGGGAGAUUAAUACCGCAUAAUAAUCAGUUUUCACAUGGAGAUUGAUUUAAAGGAGUAAUCCGCUUUGAGAUGGACCCGCGGCGCAUUAGCUAGUUGGUAGGGUAACGGCCUACCAAGGCGACGAUGCGUAGCCGACCUGAGAGGGUGAUCGGCCACAUUGGAACUGAGAGACGGUCCAGACUCCUACGGGAGGCAGCAGUGGGGAAUAUUGCACAAUGGGCGAAAGCCUGAUGCAGCAACGCCGCGUGAGUGAAGAAGGUUUUCGGAUUGUAAGGCUCUGUCUUUGGGGACGAUAAUGACGGUACCCAAGGAGGAAGCCACGGCUAACUACGUGCCAGCCGCCGCGGUAAAAC